AUCACCUUGCUGGAUGAAGUGUGAUAAAGACGUCCUCAUUUGUUGUAUUUCUUCGCCUUCUUCUGCAACACACAUGUAAACAAUUGUUACUCGCAUGGCAAUGCAGUUCACUGGAAGCCCUAUUUAUUGAAAGAUGGUGGCUAAGUCCUGCAAUUUCAACCCCACCUAGAAACACUACAUGAAGGACUAUCUCAAGAGGAUGUGGGAGAAAGAUCACCGCUCCCUGUUCUAGAUAAGACCUACCUAUUCUCAAAAUAAGAAACAUUUGUUGCUCUUAUGGUGAAACAAUUUGUAUUAAAAUUUUAUUCAAAAUGGUGUUUACAAGUGUAUCUAAGACUGUUAGUGGCAGGUCUUGGUGAAAUGCCAUUGUCCCUGUGAUGUUUGAAAACACAGAAGAAAGUCUCAACAAUUUUCUCCCUGCAUUGUAUUAGAAAAGCAAAGCAUUAGAAAAAUGUAUAGAUAAUGUUUUCUUUUUAUUGUAAAAUCAUGAUUAAAGCUAAUUUGAGACUGUAUCAUAGAUUUUGAAUCAAGCUGUGAAAUACUCCAGGCAUUGUGAUUCCCAGUUAAGCCAAAAUCAAUUGGGAUGUCUGGGAGAAUGUACGAAUUUCACCACUGAUUAGAGUAAUAAACCAGUGAAACCAUUA